UCUGUUUUCUGCAUUAUCGAUACUAGUUGUUUAGUAAUAUGUUCAGUAAAGUGUUCAGAGAUUUGUUCAGUCUGAUUCGAUUGCUGUUUAAAUAAAACGCUUCGCAUGUACUACAUAAGCAGGACUAAUCAAUUUUACACGUUGUUGAUUGAAAUAUCAAAGACACCAAGGGAAGAAGAAGAUGAACAGUGGGAAAACCUGUACAGGUCGAAUUGAAGCGAAGAGGGAUAACAUUUGAGAGCAUGGAAUUGGUCAAAGCAGAAACGUUGGAGGCUUUCAACAAGCUAACGCAAGAAGACAUCCAGCAUUGCUUUACACAUUGGAAAAAUCGGAUGGAGCGGUGCGAGGAUUGUCUAGAGGAAUAUAUAUUUAAAGCGAUCAAAUUUCAAUUGCAACUGGCGACGAAUAAAAAGUUUGAUGACAUUAGUUCGGUUAUUUGAUAGCCAUUCCUCGUAUUAUCCAAAGAACAUGGCUUACACCCGGAAGCUUUAGAAUACUUUCGUGGCUUACUGUACGUUUCUGAUCAAUGUGUGUUAAUCGUCUGGGCAUGUACAUGUAUCCGCGAUCACGUUUGUCGUUCGCGGAAAUUGUGAACGCAAUAUUGAGAAUAACGAAGGCUUGAUUGUCCCUUUGUUAUCAGAGCGCGAACAAUCCAUUUCGAGAUUAAAUGCUCUUUACGGCGAGGAACCUGUCGCGAGUAAUUACGGUGUUCAAUGUCGAAGACCCAGUACAAUGUUAUAUAGGAUGUUUCAAACUACACGGUCUGUCUAAAAAGAAACCGAACUUUUGCUAUUAAAAGAAAAAAAUACAAGUAAAGCUUUUACACACGCGUUUAUUUACUCAAAAUAAUCUCCCUCUGCGUCAAUACAGCGUGUAGACCGCGUAAUUAACAUUUCGAAGGACCUUUGCAGCUCCUGUUUAGGUAGCCCGUUUAGUACGGCGGUUACAGCGGCCUGAAUCUUCGAAUCGUUGCUAUAUGAUCCAAGGUAACAAUGCCAAUUCCAAUGAAAGGGACACAUUAUAGCAAUAUAUCGGAGAUUCAGGCCGCUGUAACCGCUGUACUAAACGGGCUACCAAAACAGGAGCUGCAAAGGUCCUUCGAAGGUCGUUAUAUUGUUUUUGCUUGAAUAUAAUAUGCAUCAUACCUUUUUAUACGUAUAACCAAACAUAUAAAUUUGAAACCUUAAUUUCAGUUUUACAUCCUGCAAAACUGUCAUCUAACGAAAAGACAAAUCUAAGAAUCAAAAUAUCUUCAUGAAUAUUACACAAAAAUGUUUGUACCGAGGCUGAUAAAUAUUAAUAAUUAUUAUUAAAUGAUUUACUGCGUAUUUUGGAACAUCGUACACUGUCGUCUACAGGUACAAAUCGCGUUGUCAUUUUGAACAACGAUAUUCAUAUUUUUAAAUCUUGAAGCAAGGAAAUUUUGACGAACUGAUUAAAAGUGCAGGUGAAAGCGCGAGGAAGGUGGAUUCGCGCGUAAUCAAUCAAACUCAACGGGAGCUUUCGCGGUUCUCUCGAUGAUAGUUAAUGCAGGAGGUGUGCCCCUCGACGUGAAUUGCUGCCGAGAUGAUUUCCUAUUGACGACAAAAGCGUCACGUUACACAAUGGACAUCCGUUUUCUUUGAUUUCACCUUUUCCGCGGGAACAGUUUUCGUUUCGUAUGCGUACGAGGAAUGCAAAUUAAACCGACUGGCCGCGUCCGAAAUAGUCGUCGAUUAAUUUAUGAAUUAUGCAGGCCCAAUCGCAUAAUUUGAUCACCUUGACGAUUUCCGGACCUUAGCGUACGAAUUCAAAUGUUCUUUUCGUCUUAGAUAAUUUCCUUUAGAAAAAGGAAUAUUAUAUCUCGUGAAUCUCUGAGAAUACUUUGCUUGUAAUACACAGUCACAAUUCAUCUUUGUUUCCAUUGAAAUAUAACAGGGAGAAUGCUAUGAAUUGUAAAGAAUUCUAUGAACAACCCCUGAAAAUUUGUAAAGAAAACUAUUAAAUAAAUUGCGUUCUGAAUGUUCUUAUUCAAGUGCCGACAAUUUCGUUAAUUUCAUUUUCUCAAUUUCAUGUACAGAAAUGAGCAGUGGACACGUGGAAAAUCUUCUAUAAAUAUUGAAAACCCAGUAGUAAGUCGAUCAUGACACUAGCAAACAAAAAUGUUUAUAUCGCAGAAACGGUUGACCUUUGGACCUAUGUUUACUACAGCUUUUUUACUCGGUACAAUACGCCCUAUACACCAUAUAAAUAUUGAAUGCUUUUUUUUUUUAACACGCUGUAUAUUUGAAGCGAUCAAAUUUCAAUUGUAAUUGGUGACGAAUAAAAAGCU